rnacentral:rRNA from 1 species
AUUGAACGCUGGCGGCAUGCCUUACACAUGCAAGUCGAACGGUAACAGGUCUUCGGAUGCUGACGAGUGGCGAACGGGUGAGUAAUACAUCGGAACGUGCCUAGUAGUGGGGGAUAACUACUCGAAAGAGUGGCUAAUACCGCAUGAGAUCUACGGAUGAAAGCAGGGGAUCGCAAGACCUUGUGCUACUAGAGCGGCCGAUGGCAGAUUAGGUAGUUGGUGGGAUAAAAGCUUACCAAGCCGACGAUCUGUAGCUGGUCUGAGAGGACGAUCAGCCACACUGGGACUGAGACACGGCCCAGACUCCUACGGGAGGCAGCAGUGGGGAAUUUUGGACAAUGGGCGCAAGCCUGAUCCAGCAAUGCCGCGUGCAGGAUGAAGGCCUUCGGGUUGUAAACUGCUUUUGUACGGAACGAAAGGCCCUGGGUUAAUACCCUGGGGUCAUGACGGUACCGUAAGAAUAAGCACCGGCUAACUACGUGCCAGCAGCCGCCGUAA